UACGUAGGGUGCAAGCGUUGUCCGGAUUUAUUGGGCGUAAAGAGCUCGUAGGCGGUCUGUCGCGUCGGAUGUGAAAACCCAGGGCUCAACCCUGGGCCUGCAUUCGAUACGGGCAGACUAGAGUGUGGCAGGGGAGACUGGAAUUCCUGGUGUAGCGGUGAAAUGCGCAGAUAUCAGGAGGAACACCGGUGGCGAAGGCGGGUCUCUGGGCCAAUACUGACGCUGAGGAGCGAAAGCGUGGGGAGCGAACAGG
rnacentral:rRNA from 1 species